rnacentral:rRNA from 1 species
GACGAACGCUGGCGGCGUGCUUAACACAUGCAAGUCGAACGGAAAGGCCCUGCUUUUGUGGGGUGCUCGAGUGGCGAACGGGUGAGUAACACGUGAGUAACCUGCCCUUGACUUUGGGAUAACUUCAGGAAACUGGGGCUAAUACCGGAUAGGAGCUCCUACUGCAUGGUGGGGGUUGGAAAGUUUCGGCGGUUGGGGAUGGACUCGCGGCUUAUCAGCUUGUUGGUGGGGUAGUGGCUUACCAAGGCUUUGACGGGUAGUCGGCCUGAGAGGGUGACCGGCCACAUUGGGACUGAGAUACGGCCCAGACUCCUACGGGAGACAGCAGUGGGGAAUAUUGCACAAUGGGCGGAAGCCUGAUGCAGCAACGCCGCGUGCGGGAUGACGGCCUUCGGGUUGUAAACCGCUUUCGCCUGUGACGAAGCGUGAGUGACGGUAAUGGGUAAAGAAGCACCGGCUAACUACGUG